GCCGGGGUAGCUCAAUCGGUAGAGCGUGUGGCUCUUAUGACUGCAAAAAGAUUACCUCAAGGUCGCGGGUUCGAGCCCCGCCUUCGGCU